GAACAUGUGAGAAAGUUGCCAUCAGGUAAUUAGUCCACAUGGAAAACAUUCAGGUUAUUGCUACAAACAGAGUUGUCAUGGUUACGAAAAGCAAAAAAGGCAAUUAAGAAUAUUUUUGCAACCAAUGAAUUGCCAUGAACAUGCGCCUAAUUAAACAUGGAAGAACUCAACUCAAUCUCACAACAGAACAAAUCUAAAUCUAGGGUUACUGUAAAAACAGAACAAACAUUGCGCCGUGCCUCGGAUUUGAACCACGUGAUCCCUUUCAGAAGUCCAAUCCCAUAGUAGAUGCCCCCCUAGAUUGCUCCCAUCAACAACGAAUAACGACUCCAUUGAAGUUAAGCCGGCGACUAGGUGAGCACAAAAGGCGAGGCGCGGGUGAGACGUACCACGACUAGGAGAAUGAGAACUACUACCCUAACCAUCAACACGUCAGCGACUCACCGGCGACAUGGAAACGACGCCCCUAACACAUCCACCACGGAUUCGCCAUGGAUUCGCUGCCAAAAACAAAGAGAUUCAAGAGAGGGGAAGCGACAAAUGCAGGAUUCCAGAGUAGGAGAUUCGUGAGCGUUACCUUUGCACACUUCAAAAUCCACCAGUGACGGAGCGACUGAGAGUCCUCCUGGCGACGACAACUAGUCUCCGCGAGACUUCCGCCACGAUUUCGUCGGAGGUUGCCGCGGAAUCGCCUCAGUGUCAUCGCAGAAUCGCUCUCGGGUCGACGCAGAGUCAAGGAGAAG
rnacentral:lncRNA from 1 species